ensembl:lncRNA
GGCAGAUCUGAAGAAAAUUACAUACAGAAAGAUCCAAGACAGAGAUGUACAGAUGCUUUCCCCAAAAACAUGGUGUACUCAAACAAAAGUUAAACAGUGGGAACUAGUAAAAAGGAAUUAAGAAAAACAAGUCAAGGAGUAAAACUAUCCAUUGCUGUUUUGAGAGAUCAACUAUAUCUCCAUGAUUUGAACAAGCAUAUCCAUAUUUUCUACUUUCAAGAACAUUCGAUAAAAGUUUCAUUCCCUGGUAUGAGCUUCCCCUUGUGAGCAUGGGCUUCAGGAUCUCCUGGAACAAGAUGGCAUCAUGUUGAGUGACAAGAAGUUGAACUUGGAAAGAAAGAAAACAAGAUUUGAUGACACAACUACACCUUUGGGGCUAAGACUUGCUUGGAUCAGAGAGGCCUAAAUGUACUGAGCGCAUGCCAGUAAAGUUUUCAGUCAGCAAAUUCUUGCAAAUUGCAUUGUGAAAUGAUGAUAUGUUUCCCAUUACAUACACUCUUCUCAGGCAUCAGUAUUUGUCAUUUAUGAUUUUGUCAGCACAUAUCUUAUUAGAUGUAUGCCAUGAAAUAGAUGCAGAGAAUAAACUAAAUAAGGUAUGUUCUGAUGAAGACCGAUUUCAGCAUCAAUGAUGCCAAGAAAUGUAAAUAAGCAUUUAAGAUAUAUGUGAAAUAUUAUUGUUUGGAAACAAAGGUGCAAAUGCUUUUACUAAUAUAGAAAUGCUUGUGUGGUGAUAAAAGCUGUCAAGAGAAUUAUAUUUCCUGCUUCUGAGAUGCUCUUAAGUAUUUCGAGAAAAUGCAUGUCAAGAGUUAAUUGCCAAACAAAGGAAAAUAUAAUUGGUGAAGAUGUGUAUGUGUGUGUGUGUGUGUGUGUGUGUGUAUGUGUGUGUGUGUGUGUGUGUGUGUGUGUGUGUGUGUGAGAGAGAGAGAGAGAGAGAGAGAGAGUGCAUGUAUGUACACCUAUUGCACCUUCUUAGGAAAGAAGGGUUUCUUCUAUUCCCAAGCUACUAAAUGCUGAGCAGAUGAUCACAGGAGAAUAUUGGGAUGCACAGGCCUUGGAGAUUGAGGAAAAGCACAGACUUACAUGUCUGGACUCUUCUGGAGAAAGCAUAAAGGAAUGUUGCCGAGUCAGAAAUUACACAUCAUCACAAACAUUUCAUUAGCCACCUCCAGCUCUGUUGACUUCUGCAUGGACCUUGGGUUUGGCCAACCUAAGGAUGUUAGUGUUUGGCAGGUUGAUGUGGCUGAUGGUCCUGAUUUCCCUUUAUAGUAAAGGCAGGUCCACCAGUCCUGGCACGUGCAAGGACCCAUAAUAAUUCAGACUUGUGUUGUCUACAUG